rnacentral:lncRNA from 1 species
GUGGUAACUACGGAGGUACAGAUCGCGGCGAUCGUGCGGCAGAUGACCGUUUUGACAGAUGCGGUCAAAAAUCUCCAACAGCAACCGACUCAAUUGCCGCAACCACCAGCGGAGCAACUGACGGUGCACCCUCUGCCGUCCAGAAGCAGCCGCUGACGUCCGCAUCAACUUCUGUCUCUUUCUCAAGAGCAGCCGCCUCUGCACUUCC